GACGAACGCUGGCGGCGUGCUUAACACAUGCAAGUCGAACGGAAAGGCCCUGCUUUUGUGGGGUGCUCGAGUGGCGAACGGGUGAGUAACACGUGAGUAACCUGCCCUUGACUUUGGGAUAACUUCAGGAAACUGGGGCUAAUACCGGAUAGGAGCUCCUGCUGCAUGGUGGGGGUUGGAAAGUUUCGGCGGUUGGGGAUGGACUCGCGGCUUAUCAGCUUGUUGGUGGGGUAGUGGCUUACCAAGGCUUUGACGGGUAGCCGGCCUGAGAGGGUGACCGGCCACAUUAGGACUGAGAUACGGCCCAGACUCCUACGGGAGGCAGCGGUGGGGAAGAUUGCACAAUGGGCGGAAGCCUGAUGCAGCAACGCCGCGUGCGGGAUGACGGCAUUCGGGUUGUAAACCGCUUUCGCCUGUGACGAAGCGUGAGUGACGGUAAUGGGUAAAGAAGCACCGGCUAACUACGUG
rnacentral:rRNA from 1 species